rnacentral:sRNA from 1 species
GUCCAUUUCUGAGAGAGAAGUGUUGAAGUCUCUGGCUAUACGAGUGGAUUAAUCUGUUUCUUCUUGCAGUUCUAUCAGGUUCAUAUCCAGCUUUCAGAGUGGCACCGUGCGAUUUUUCUUCCGCAGGCCUGGCUUGCAUACAUGAAUCGAGCUUAUCAUGCCAUUUUACAGGGAAGACUAGGAGAGCUGGAGUUGCAGUUAAAACAUGGAAAAG